rnacentral:rRNA from 1 species
ACUCCUACGGGAGGCAGCAGUGGGGAAUAUUGCACAAUGGGGGAAACCCUGAUGCAGCCAUGCCGCGUGUGUGAAGAAGGCCUUCGGGUUGUAAAGCACUUUCAGUCGUGAGGAAAGGGUUGUAGUUAAUACCUGCAAUCUGUGACGUUAGCGACAGAAGAAGCACCGGCUAACUCCGUGCCAGCAGCCGCGGUAAUACGGAGGGUGCGAGCGUUAAUCGGAAUUACUGGGCGUAAAGCGUGCGUAGGCGGAUGAUUAAGCGAGAUGUGAAAUCCCGGGGCUCAACCCGAUCGGUAACUGCAUUUCGAACUGGUCAUCUAGAGUACUNUAGAGGGUGGUGGAAUUUCCAGUGUAGCGGUGAAAUGCGUAGAGAUUGGAAGGAACAUCAGUGGCGAAGGNGGCCACCUGGACAGAUACUGACGCUGAGGCACGAAAGCGUGGGGGAGCAAACAGGGAUUAGAUACCCUGGUAGACUGUC